UACUUGAACUUGACUAUUUUUAUUUUUAUCAGGCUGAAGAUGGGCACACAAAUUAUCGGCGUGGAUGCAAAGUUUCCUCUCAAUAAAUGGAGUAACUGAGGUGCUCAGCGAGGGCUGUCCAUGCUCUAGGCCCAUGCCGCACAAGACGGGGGAAUGAAUGUUGCAGAACCUUGAGAGGAAAGCUUUUUGUUUGUCAUGCAAUGGAAUUUACCUGGGGGAAAAAAGAUGACUGGAAAGCUCUGCCUACAUUGUGCAUCUGUGCAUCAAAAAGAUCUAAUUCGGGGUGAAACCAAUGCAUGCGCUUGUUUCUCACGCCAAUGAGCCAAAACACGUCCAAGGGACAUCCCCACAAUGUGCUGUUGCCGAGACACACGUGCUGACAGGUAGCCAGGUAAGUCUCCCGGGCUCGCGGGCGUGGACUCCCAACUGCGUAUGGACCUCCCCUUGAUAGCAGCGGGGGUGGGGGGAAAGGAGUGUCUGCCUUAUUUCAUUACAUUUAUUACACCGCUACAUUUACAGUCUGGCUGCCUCUUCAGAGAUAAUUGAAAAAAGAAAUUCUGUGGCAGGAUGCUUUGAUUCCGACUAAAUCAAGUCUUCGGGCAAAUUUCCUCCUGCCAGUGGAAGCACAGCUUGCCUGAAGUCGUAACCUUUGUCGGAGGAAAGGAACUGGCCUUGAAGCAGAUCAGGAAGCAGAUGUUUUAUGCCAAAUCAGAGUCUGGGGAUACGCAGGCUACUGCAAAUAAACCUCUUCUUCUGUCUGUUCAAUCAUUUCA